UUUCACUUUUAAUGAGCCAAUGUCUGAGAUUGUUUUUUCGGAUUUUUUUUACCCAAAAUUACCCCCAUCAAACUUAGAAUUCCAAAUCAGUCUUUGACUCUCUCGCUCUCUUCGAUGCCAUCGAUUAUCAGCGCCGAUCAUUGUUUAUCAUAUUCGCAGAUCAGUUUUGUUGCCACCGUCCAAUUGAAGUACCUUUGGCUAUAUCUACAGCUCACAGCUCCGAGCUCCGAUCACUGUUUCUCACCUAGGGCUCCAUUGAAGAACAUUUAGCUCUGUCUACAGCUCUUUCAUCCUCUUUUCUAGAAGCUAACACAACUUUUCUUAAGAGAGGAUGACUGAACUUGUACCUUAUGCGCGGUUUUCGGCAUGUUUUCGCUCUCUUCAAUUUGUGGUUAGUUAGACAUGCCACCAAGAUGGUGGACCUGAAUAUAGAUGAAGGCUACAAGAACUGUCUAUCUACCAACUAAACCUCAAUUAGUACUGUUUCAACUUUGCUUGAAGUUCAACAAACGUUGGAAUUUAAUCCUUAUAUCUAAGAUAGGUUAUCAUAAGAUGUAAAAUUUCACAUUUUCCAGAUUACAUAUGUAGAACCUGGUCAGAGCUCUGUUAUUGAAGCAAGAAAUAGUUCCGAUGUCAGAGUUCAAGCUCCUUGGUCCUCCUUGGCAGCGUCCCGUGAAUGGGUGUGAGUUCAAUUACUAGUUCAGUUCUUUUAUUUAUUUGAUUACCUCGUCAUUUCCCUACAACCACAAGGCCAAUUGACACUGAACUAUGAACUGCACUGUUUGUACAAGAGUUUUCUUGGGAAGGAAGGGGCAGAUAUUGUCAUCAUACUGGUCAUAAAGCAGCUUCUGCCUAAAUUUACGUUGGUUUUCAGACAAGAAGAUGCGGUUCAAUUUGCAAAGCUGCGGCAUGCCUAGUAAAGAGUCCUCUCUACUUAAGCUUUUGGCUUUCAAAUCAAUGUCAAAUUCAACAUUAUCAUUACAUUCGUCGUCUUUCAAGUUAUUCUAGGUUUAUAAUUCCUAUGAAAAAUGGAAAUCUGAAAGCAAAGGGCUGCUAGCUAGUAUAAUUCAAGCUGAGGGAACUAUAGAAUCAUUCAAGGAACUCUUGUCAAAGGAAUUGCCGGAUGCACAAGUACUAGAGCCUACUCCUGGUGUACCCCUAGAAAUCGAAGCACCUAAGAGGCCCUUUUUUCCCCUUUUUUUUUUUUUUUUUUGUCCGGAGUAUAUACAAUUAUAAUGUAAUCUAUGCAUUUGAGCUAUCUUUUUAUUUUCUUAUA